rnacentral:tRNA from 1 species
GCCUGGUUAGCUCAGUUGGUAGAGCAUGUGACUCUUGAUCUUGAGGUUGUAAGUUUGAGUCCCAUGCUGGGUG